UGGAAAGGAAUGCUUUCCAUCAGGCUAUCUUCAAGGAUAUCAAUAGUUGAAAAUCUAUGAGAGUUUUAAAGGAAAUUCGUUUUAUAUCAGAUUAUCGUUUCAAACCAAUUAGACAAGAAUUAAAUUUAUUUUAAAGAUGGUUGAGUCAUGAAAUUUUUUGGAAUUAUUGUACAAGCGUAAGGACAGACGACCUUCUCGUGACUCAAUUGGGCCUAUCUACAACAAGCUAGCUUUUUAUUCCAAUCCUCUGGAGAAUUCGACCUAGUUGUGAAGAGCCUAAAUUAUUGAAAUGCUUUAAAAAGAGGACGAUUAAUAGACAAUAGGAAUUGUUUGUGUAUUUUGCUCUACUGGUAUUUCAAAAUCAUCAACUCGACGGAAGUUUUGAAAUCUGAUACCUACAGCAUAAUCAUAUUAUUCGACAUUUCGAUUCAUUUCACUAAAAAUUGAUCAGUCAACAAUUUUUACAAUUCUUAUAGAGGAUUAUAUUUAGUUCUCAUCGAAAUAGAUCACCGUACGGUAUUGUUAAAUGAGUGCAGCCAUCUAAUCUAUAAUAGAUUCACUAAUCUUAAUCGAGAAUGGAUAAGCUGGUGCUAAUUACUUAUUGCAUUUUGAUUUUACAGAUAUUACAGAAGCAUUGCUUAGGAGGCGUCAUACAUCAGAGUCCAUCCAUCCGAAUACAUCCAACAGCUCAUGAAUCCACAAUCGAUGAAUCCGAUGAAGACAUAUCCAUUGAAGG